rnacentral:rRNA from 1 species
UACAGAGACUGCAAGCGUUAUUCGGAUUCACUGGGCGUAAAGGGUGCGCAGGCGGCCGGGUGUGUCAGAUGUGAAAUCCCGAGGCUUAACCUCGGAACUGCGUCUGAAACUACUCGGCUAGAGUACUGGAGAGGGUAACGGAAUUCACGGUGUAGCAGUGAAAUGCGUAGAUAUCAAGAGGAACACCAGUGGCGAAGGCGAGUCCCUGGACAACACCUGACACUGAGGCACGAAAGCUAGGGGAGCAAACAGG